rnacentral:lncRNA from 1 species
CCCCCCACUACGCCCCGCUCCGCCCGGCCCCGGCCCCCGCCCCACUUACCUGCGAGGGAGCCGGGCCUCUGCAGGGUGGCGGUGGCGUACAGCUCCUGGGAGUGCUUGCUGUACUGCUCGGCAGCGUGAACCAGCCGCUUGGUGGGCGACAGAGUGGCGUCCUGUAAAUCAGCAGCAUGGAGAAGAUUAGAAAAAAAACAGAGGAGGAUGAUGGACAUGCCUACAACUGGGAGCCAACCCACAGUGAAACCUCAGAUGGGAUGGAGAGCAGAAGGCUUUGCCAGGAAUGAGAGAAGACAAAUGGGAUUUUCCUUCACAGUCUGGAAACCCAGGCCCUGGAAGGCAUGGCAGAGUUAGAAGAGUCAUCCAUUUGGAGAGUGAGGGAAGCAGAGAGGCUUCUUCUGAAGCUCUUUUCAUUGUAUUACCCACCCUUCUUACUGGCAGUUGUGUUACAGGUUAGUACUUUUUCUCCAUUAAAAACCUAAUAGUUUAAGAGAUUUGGAGCACCUGCUUACACCUGUCAAAUUCAAUUUGUACAAAACAGGUGUGGGGAACAGAUCCACUGCAGGAUUCUGGCCUACCUUGGGUCCCACCGCUAAGGAUAGCGGCGCAAAGCCUAUUGCUACCUUCCUGCCAUACCGCAUUUGAGAAAACAAGCAGAGUAUGGCAUUACUAUAAACAAGCUGAUUUAUGGCACUAAAUAUGGUGUAUAUGGCUGUAAAUAUAAGCUGCUGAUGCACAGACUCCAUUGCAGAUGAAGUGUGCAGCACCAAUCUAUCGGCAAGGGGAGGCCCAGGAGCUUGCAGGAAGGUGAGGCAGAGGCUGCUGGGGGAGCCUCCCCAGGCGCAGGUGGGGAUGUUACUGUGCCCUGUGCCUGUUGGGGUAAGGUAUUGCAUGGCAGGAUUUCAUCUCUGGCCAUUGUUCUUUCUGGUUACUAACACAAUGUGCAAGGCUGCAACAAGUUGCAGUGUAGCUAUAUGAAAAGCAAGCCAAGAAAAUGAGUGGCCUUAUACGAUAAGAUUAUUAUUAAUACAGAGACAUCACAGCAACAGUUGGUUACAGGAAAUCAAAGUCUUGCAAAGAAUCUCAAUUAUACUCAUCCAUGACUAUGUCAAAAACGGGAAAAAAAAGGUAGUUAUGAACACAUUUUCUCCUUGUAUUUUAAGUGCAUUAUUUUAAUCUUUCACCUGUCUUUUCUGCUGUAUUAAGACCACCUCCUCUUCCUUAUUCCAGCCUUUGGAGAACAAAACGAAACAAGCCAGCACAAUUAUCUUACUAUAGUUCUCUAUUUAGGUCAUACUUUACAUUUUCUCUUUUUCAAACAAUGCUUCGCAGUCUACUCAAAACAAGAUAAAAGAGCCUUUGUAUUGUUUGGAAGAAAAGUUCACUUUGAUUUUAAAUGAUAUUAUGUUGCUCAGCACAAAAGUUAGUUUCACUUGUGCGACUGGCUUUUUACUUACAUUUCAUCAGAACAAUCCCACUUCUACACUGAAGAAAGGUCUGGAAUGUCCAUUUUUUUAUGCUCAGAAAUCCUCAAGGGCUAAGGCCUAUACUCAAUAUUCAUAUUCAAAUCCACUGGAAUAUGCCUGGCGAUUUCAGUAGGAGUCAAAUCAGUUUGUAAUAUAUUUGAAGGUGUAUGAAGAUGCAUUAAGGUGUAUGAAACUGAUGCAUGCUUACAGAGAAAAUGUACCAACUGAACUCAGGGUAUAAACCCAAUGUAAAAAAAAAUAAUAAUACAAUGCUGGUAAUGAAUAGCCAUAGUCUUAAAAAUGCUGUAGAGAAAACAAAGGAAUGAAAAGAUAUUCUAAAAAAAGGCAAGAAGGACCAAAGUUAAUCACACAGUACUGAAUUCUGAUUCUAGUGGGCAGUCCUUAAUGUCUAACGGAUCUUCAGAGAGGGAAGAACUUAGGCAUCCCAGCAAUCAGAAAUCUAAUAGCUAGGCAACUUGGUUGAGAAUCAGAGCUGGUGAGUCAUGACCCAUUCUCUUCCCUUCUUUCAAAAAUAAGACACUGUCUGGCAAAUAUACAGUGGCAGUGCUUAACCAAGUCUUAUCCUAUAGUGGUCAUAAGCAGAAGAGCAUCUCAUGUAAGAAAUCCACUAGGAGCUUGUGGUCCAAGGAGCUUAACAAAAGCAGAAGUGAAGUAGCUUCGUAAGUGCCAAGAAGACAUGAAGUUCGAGAGACCAGUCCAGUACUUUUACACAGAGUAGAGGUAGGGGGAAGAAGGACAUCCUAUUAAGUUUUGCUAUUUGUAUUAUUCUACAUCCUCAGUGAGGACACAGAAACAAAUACAUGACGUGUUAAGUGUGGUACAAAUCAAGUACAGUCAGUAUCGCUGCUGAAAUAUUUUAACCUACAAGAUAGCAAGUUCAGGUAGUAGGAAUCCGGGGAUUAACUGCAUUACAAACUCAGUGAUAAUCAUGUUUUUUCAGCCUUAUAUCUUAGAGCCAUUACUUGUUCACAAAACUAAAUAGCCAGGUGAAUGUGGGAUUACUGUGAAGGCGGAAGUCACUAAAAGAAGCCAAAGAAAUUGUUCCCUAUGGUGAUAUUAUUGACAGCUGAUCCCUACUGUCUACCCAUCGAUCAUCUGCAAAGUUACUUGUUUCCUAACAGGUAGACUGCAGUAUCUCAUAGAAAAUAUCAUAUAGAAUAUUUUUAAAAAUUGUAGCUUCACAGCCUAUGACAAUUCAAGAUAUAUUUUUAGUUCAUGUGAUAUAGCAAUCGUAUGGUCAAGUUUCAAUUAAAGAAAAAGGUUGAAUUAUGAAAGAGUACUAGAAUUUUACAUUACAGAGCAGAAGCUAUCAUGUAGCAAGUAUUCAAUAGUACAUUAUCUGCUAGUUGUUAAAUUAUCAAAUAAUUACCAUAUAAUGACAAGUUACAUAACGUACUGUAUUAUUACAAGAUAAAGGCAUGAUUAAUUCAGUAUUCUAAAUCUAUGCAAUAAUUACUUCUGAAUUGGAUAAAAUAAUUACACUAUAAACUGCAGACAAACACACCUAGUCAGCCUCCAUGCGAUAAUUGCAUGCUUCUUACUUAGAUUUCCAUGUGAAGUUUCCAGUGAAAAUAUCAUGCAAGUGAAAAGAGCAGGAUUUUUUCUGUCCUUAGGAUUUAAAGUCACUUGGAUUACUGGGGCACCUUUCCUCUCCAAUUAAGUGCUAAAAUGGAGCACAAUUAUUGUGUUAUACAUUUCCACUUGGUCAAUCAUCUACUGCAAUGCUAGUCCUAAUUGACAAAGGAAAUAGACCAAAACAUGCUAAAACGAACAUUUAAUUAGCUCACAUUCCAAUUAUAAACAACACUUCCCUCACCUUCGAUCAACUGACAGAAGUAGUAAUGAUAAAUUAUAGAGUAAGUGUAAAUAAAGUGUUUUUAAUUAGUGUAAUUAAUCACUUCACACAUUCUUCAACCCGCUUUGCUCAUUUGGGUAACAGUUGAAAGAAAGCACUAGCAAAACUCCUUUAAUGUCCUUUAAACAUUCAUUUACAAAGUUAAUAGGUCAAGGUGCCUCACAUUCCAGUUGGAGGAAUCAUCUCCUAAGUGUUCUUGUAGUCCUAAUUAAGGGUUUCAAAUACCAAGAUGUCACUGUUUACUCUUUCUUCUUCUUCUUAGGUCAUUAAGGUUUUGUGUGAAAUAUUGAUUUGUACCCUACGACCUACUUUUCUUGUGUGUUUAAGAGUGUGUAUUCAUGCAAAGUAGUUGCUAACCACUUCUAAAGUUGCUUGUAUUUGUUGCCCAGUUCUGCAAAGAGAUGUAUAAUUUUAAAAGAUCUAAUAAAAUAACAGAUCGGCUCAAGUACCUUUAGACUGGGCAUUCAGUUUCUGAGUGCUCAACUACAGUUGAAAAGCUGGAGGAAUGCUAGAACUGGACUGAAAGGAAAACGAAAACUGGGAUAGCUCUCGAUGGUAACCUGGAAGGGUGUUUCCAGCAUAUUUGACAGUAGCCUAGAGGGGAUGAUAGAGACAAAUUCUAUGGCAUCUUACUGGCAUCUCCCAUUUUCC